AUUCACACGGUGUCGAUCCCAAACCUUAACCCUUUCAACGGUUCCACUCCACCACCAACCCCAUGCGUCGGCGCCCGUCGCGGCACCCAACCCCUCCCUCCUCCGUCUGCUCCCGGUCCUCGCGCAGCCGCAACCUCCCUCAUUGACCCUCACCACCUGCAUCCCAAGCGUCGUGCAGAUCGAAACCAAGGGGGCAGGCAGCGACGGUGGUUUAGAGUCCGCCGUCGAUGGCCCUGCGAGGAACAGAUAGAUUCGCUUGGUGUCCGGGCGGCUCCGCGUUGCCGAAUCCGAUAGCAUCGUGGAUUUGGCGGUAGGAAAAGGGCUUGGUAGUAGAGGUGGAGGACAAUGGCGUUCAUGGUCCUAGAACUAAGCGUGAUGGUCUCCUCAGGCAUUGGCUUCGUGGGUGGCUGGUUCUUCCCGUCAUAGAUCAGAAGAAGCCUCGAGUUGUCAAAAAGUUCAUCAGCGUUGCUUGAAUCCCACGAAAUGGCCGCUGGUUCUUCUCAUUUCUUGGCAUAUAUAGUAUGUCAAAACUUGAACCUUUAGGACACCUGUUGCUAGCACCUGAGGCUUUAAACGAAUCUCAAUCACUUGUGCUCAUAUUGGUUUUGGUACAGGUCACAAUUGGUCCAACCGUCCAAGCAAUGUCCAAUGUGAGAGCGUGGAAUUCCAUGGACCAAAGCAAAUUAGCAAGGAAUCAUAAAAGCAUAUGGAGGGACUAUGUAUAGACUACAAAGAAGCAAAAGAAACAUUUUAUGCUAGUUUAGACAUAAUGCAUCAUUCUCUAAUAGAUGCUUAGGCUUACCUUUUAGCAUAAUGUACACUAAACAAGUGCCUUUAUGAUGAUCGUGACUUCUGCAUUUUUAAAUGAAUUUUACGACACUUUUUGUUGUGUUGUACGCUACAAUUAUCUCAAAUCACUUCUUCUUGUGUUUUACGCCAAUUUACCACAUUUCCUGAUAUGUUUUACAUCAAUUUACGACACUUUUUUAUGUCUUUUACAACAGUUUCAUAUUUUUUAAUUUAAACCAUGUGUUGCCUUC